GACGAACGCUGGCGGCGUGCUUAACACAUGCAAGUCGAACGGAAAGGCCCUGCUUGCCGGGUACUCGAGUGGCGAACGGGUGAGUAACACGUGGGUGAUCUGCCCUGCACUUCGGGAUAAGCUUGGGAAACUGGGUCUAAUACCGGAUAGGAGCCAUCUUUAGUGUGGUGGUUGGAAAGUUUUUUCGGUGUAGGAUGAGCUCGCGGCCUAUCAGCUUGUUGGUGGGGUAAUGGCCUACCAAGGCGGCGACGGGUAGCCGGCCUGAGAGGGUGUACGGCCACAUUGGGACUGAGAUACGGCCCAGACUCCUACGGGAGGCAGCAGUGGGGAAUAUUGCACAAUGGGCGCAAGCCUGAUGCAGCGACGCCGCGUGGGGGAUGAAGGCCUUCGGGUUGUAAACUCCUGUCGCUAGGGACGAAGCUUUUUUGUGACGGUACCUAGAGAAGAAGCACCGGCUAACUACGUG
rnacentral:rRNA from 1 species